AGAGCAUUUUUUUUAGGAGUUACAAGAACCGAAUUCCCAAGUUAAUUGUUUUCCUCAUAAAAAACUUCACUAGCUCUUCUUCAUCCUCAUCAAACUUGUAACCUGAUAUCUUGUUAAACUUAAUCUUGUAUGGAUCAGGAACAAAAAUAUCAAGUUUGUUUUUCAAGUGAAGCUCUUACUGAGAUGUGUGUGAAGCCAU
rnacentral:lncRNA from 1 species